UCCUACGGGAGGCAGCAGUAGGGAAUCUUCGGCAAUGGGGGCAACCCUGACCGAGCAACGCCGCGUGAGUGAAGAAGGUUUUCGGAUCGUAAAGCUCUGCUGUAAGAGAAGAACGUGUGUGAGAGUGGAAAGUUCACACAGUGACGGUAACUUACCAGAAAGGGACGGCUAACUACGUGCCAGCAGCCGCGGUAAUACGUAGGUCCCGAGCGUUGUCCGGAUUUAUUGGGCGUAAAGCGAGCGCAGGCGGUUUAAUAAGUCUGAAGUUAAAGGCAGUGGCUUAACCAUUGUUCGCUUUGGAAACUGUUAAACUUGAGUGCAGAAGGGGAGAGUGGAAUUCCAUGUGUAGCGGUGAAAUGCGUAGAUAUAUGGAGGAACACCGGUGGCGAAAGCGGCUCUCUGGUCUGUAACUGACGCUGAGGCUCGAAAGCGUGGGGAGCAAACAGGAUUAGAUACCCUGGUAGUCCACGCCGUAAACGAUGAGUGCUAGGUGUUAGGCCCUUUCCGGGGCUUAGUGCCGCAGCUAACGCAUUAAGCACUCCGCCUGGGGAGUACGACCGCAAGGUUGAAACUCAAAGGAAUUGACGG
rnacentral:rRNA from 1 species